rnacentral:rRNA from 1 species
AGUGAACGCUGGCGGUAGGCCUAACACAUGCAAGUCGAACGGCAGCACAGUAAGAGCUUGCUCUUACGGGUGGCGAGUGGCGGACGGGUGAGGAAUACAUCGGAAUCUACUUUUUCGUGGGGGAUAACGUAGGGAAACUUACGCUAAUACCGCAUACGACCUACGGGUGAAAGCAGGGGAUCUUCGGACCUUGCGCGAUUGAAUGAGCCGAUGUCGGAUUAGCUAGUUGGCGGGGUAAAGGCCCACCAAGGCGACGAUCCGUAGCUGGUCUGAGAGGAUGAUCAGCCACACUGGAACUGAGACACGGUCCAGGCUCCUGCGGGACGCAGCAGUGGGGAAUAUUGGACAAUGGGCGCAAGCCUGAUCCAGCCAUACCGCGUGGGUGAAGAAGGCCUUCGGGUUGUAAAGCCCUUUUGUUGGGAAAGAAAAGCAGCAGGUUAAUACCCCGCUGUUCUGACGGUACCCAAAGAAUAAGCACCGGCUAACUUCGUG